rnacentral:rRNA from 1 species
AUGGGUGGCGGCGUUGCAGCGGCGACAUGUCAAGGAGCAUCGAGCAGCGAGGAGGAGGAAGCAGCCGGCGUAGAGGAUGAUGAUGGGAAGAAGCUGCUACUGCGGCGCUCCAUUGCUUGCAGUACACGACUAAAUUACCUUUGGAUUAAUCAUUUGGGUACAUGUAUCUCAUCCGAGUCAUGUCUGAAUUUAAGUAGGUGGCAAGAAUCUUCCUGCCUGUUAGUGAAGGCAUUCAUGCACUACUGCCAUCCUUGUGCUAGCUUUCCAAGUUGUUUUAUUCUGAGCCUCCACUUAAUUGUACCAGUUGCUAACUUUGCUAUAUAA